rnacentral:rRNA from 1 species
AGCGAACGCUGACGGCAGGCUUAACACAUGCAAGUCGAACGCUCACCUUCGGGUGGGAGUGGCAGACGGGUGAGUAACACGUGGGAACGUACCCUUUGGUUCGGGACAACUCUGGGAAACUGGAGCUAAUACCGGAUACGCCCUUUUGGGGAAAGGUUUACUGCCGAAGGAUCGGCCCGCGUCUGAUUAGCUAGUUGGUGGGGUAACGGCCUACCAAGGCGACGAUCAGUAGCUGGUCUGAGAGGAUGAUCAGCCACACUGGGACUGAGACACGGCCCAGACUCCUACGGGAGGCAGCAGUGGGGAAUAUUGGACAAUGGGCGCAAGCCUGAUCCAGCCAUGCCGCGUGAGUGAUGAAGGCCUUAGGGUUGUAAAGCUCUUUUAUCCGGGACGAUAAUGACGGUACCGGAGGAAUAAGCCCCGGCUAACUUCGUGCCAGCCGCCGCGGUAAGAC